rnacentral:rRNA from 1 species
GUUCGGAUUGUAGUCUGNAACCCGACUACAUGAAGCUGGAAUCGCUAGUAAUCGCGAAUCAGAAUGUCGCGGUGAAUACGUUCCCGGGUCUUGUACACACCGCCCGUCACACCAUGGGAGUCGGAAAUGCCCGAAGUCAGUGACCUAACCGAAAGGGAGGAGCUGCCGAAGGUGGAGCCGGUAACUGGGGUGAAGUCGUAACAAGGUAAC